rnacentral:rRNA from 1 species
UGGGGAAUAUUGCGCAACGGGCGAAAGCCUGACGCAGCGACGCCGCGUGCGGGAUGAAGGUUUUCGGAUCGUAAACCUCUGUCAGAAGGGAAUAAACCGCACUGUGCUAAUCAGCAGUGCCUUGACGGUACCUUCAAAGGAAGCACCGGCUAACUCCGUGCCAGCAGCCGCGGUAAUACGGAGGGUGCAAGCGUUAAUCGGAAUUACUGGGCGUAAAGCGCACGUAGGCUGCUUUGUAAGUCAGGGGUGAAAUCCCACGGCUCAACCGUGGAACUGCCUUUGAUACUGCUGAGCUUGAAUCCGGGAGAGGGUGGCGGAAUUCCAGGUGUAGGAGUGAAAUCCGAAGAUAUCUGGAGGAACAUCAGUGGCGAAGGCGGCCACCUGGACCGGUAUUGACGCUGAGGUGAGAAAGCGUGGGGAGCAAACAGG